rnacentral:rRNA from 1 species
CCCUUAGAUGUUCUGGGCCGCACGCGCGCUACACUGAUGCAUUCAACAAGUUUUACCUUGGCCGAGAGGCCUGGGAAAUCUUUCAAAUAUGUAUCGUGAUAGGGAUAGAUUAUUGCAAUUAUUAAUCUUGAACGAGGAAUUCCUAGUAAAUGCAGAUCAUCAUUCUGCGUUGAUUACGUCCCUGCCCUUUGUACACACCGCCCGUCGCUACUACCGAUUGAAUGGUUUAGUGAGGACUCCUGAUUGGCGCCGCCGCCCCGGCAACGGAGCAGCGGACUGCCGAAAAGUUGUUCAAACUUGAUCAUUUAGAGGAAGUAAAAGUCGUAACA